UACGAAGGUUGCAAGCGUUGUUCGGAAUCACUGGGCUUAAAGCGCAUAUAGGCGGACAGGAAAGCGUUUUGUGAAAUCCCUCGGCUUAACCGAGGAAUUGCUUGGCGAACUGCCUGUCUUGAGGCAAGUAGGGGUGCAUGGAACUCUUGGUGGAGCGGUGGAAUGCGUAGAUAUCAAGAGGAACGCCAAUGGUGAAAACAGUGCACUGGGCUUGUACUGACGCUGAGAUGCGAAAGCGUGGGGAGCAAACGGGACUAGAUACCCCGGUAGUCCACGCCCUAAACGAUGCCUACUAGGUCGUAGAACCUCUGACGGUUUUAUGGCCGAAGCAAAAGUGUUAAGUAGGCCGCCUGGGAAGUACGGUCGCAAGGCUAAA
rnacentral:rRNA from 1 species